AGAGUUUGAUCAUGGCUCAGGACGAACGCUGGCGGCGUGCCUAACACAUGCAAGUUGAGCGACGAACCAGGGCUUGCCCUGGGGCAAAGCAGCGAACGGGUGAGUAACACGUGGGUAACCUACCCCGAUAACCGGGACAACCCGAGGAAACUCGGGCUAAUACCGGAUGUGCUCACUGGACUUCGGUUCAGUGCGUAAAGGAAGCUUCGGCCUCCGUAUCGGGAGGGGCCCGCGGGUCAUUAGCUAGUUGGUGAGGUAACGGCUCACCAAGGCCGCGAUGACUAGCUGGUCUGAGAGGACGAUCAGCCACACUGGGACUGAGACACGGCCCAGACUCCUACGGGAGGCAGCAGUGGGGAAUCUUGCGCAAUGCGCGAAAGCGUGACGCAGCAACGCCGCGUGGGGGAAGAAGGCCUUCGGGUUGUAAACCCCUUUCAGGAGGGACGAAGGUUCGGCGGUGAAUAGCCGUCCGGACUGACGGUACCUCCACAAGAAGCCCCGGCUAACUACGUGCCAGCAGCCGCGGUAAUACGUAGGGGGCUAGCGUUGUCCGGAAUCAUUGGGCGUAAAGCGCGCGUAGGCGGCCCGGUAAGUCCGCUCUGAAAGUCCAGGGCUCAACCCUGGAAAGCGGGUGGAUACUGCCGGGCUAGAAUCCGGAAGAGGCGAGUGGAAUUCCUGGUGUAGCGGUGGAAUGCGCAGAUAUCAGGAGGAACACCAAUAGCGAAGGCAGCUCGCUGGGACGGUAUUGACGCUAAGGCGCGAAAGCGUGGGGAGCAAACAGGAUUAGAUACCCUAGUAGUCC
rnacentral:rRNA from 1 species